rnacentral:rRNA from 1 species
AUUGAACGCUGGCGGCAGGCCUAACACAUGCAAGUCGAGCGGAGGAAGGGAGCUUGCUCCUGGAUUCAGCGGCGGACGGGUGAGUAAUGCCUAGGAAUCUGCCUGGUAGUGGGGGAUAACGUCCGGAAACGGGCGCUAAUACCGCAUACGUCCUGAGGGAGAAAGUGGGGGAUCUUCGGACCUCACGCUAUCAGAUGAGCCUAGGUCGGAUUAGCUAGUUGGUGGGGUAAGGGCCUACCAAGGCGACGAUCCGUAACUGGUCUGAGAGGAUGAUCAGUCACACUGGAACUGAGACACGGUCCAGACUCCUACGGGAGGCAGCAGUGGGGAAUAUUGGACAAUGGGCGAAAGCCUGAUCCAGCCAUGCCGCGUGUGUGAAGAAGGUCUUCGGAUUGUAAAGCACUUUAAGUUGGGAGGAAGGGCAGUAAGUUAAUACCUUGCUGUUUUGACGUUACCAACAGAAUAAGCACCGGCUAACUUCGUG